rnacentral:rRNA from 1 species
UACGUAGGGUGCGAGCGUUGUCCGGAAUUAUUGGGCGUAAAGAGCUCGUAGGCGGUUUGUCGCGUCUGCUGUGAAAACUCGGGGCUUAACUCCGGGCCUGCAGUGGGUACGGGCAGACUAGAGUGCGGUAGGGGAGACUGGAAUUCCUGGUGUAGCGGUGAAAUGCGCAGAUAUCAGGAGGAACACCGGUGGCGAAGGCGGGUCUCUGGGCCGUAACUGACGCUGAGGAGCGAAAGCGUGGGGAGCAAACAGG